UUAUAUUCGGAUUUCGGUCUUAGGUAUCCGUCCUUGUCUCCGGGAAUAUUAUACCCACACAAGUUGUCAACAUCCGUUUUCAAAUUGUUCAAAGUGUUCUUCACAAUCUCCCUGGAAAAUAUUCACGCUAUCACUUCGUGCUCAGAUAAUAGAACAUUGUAAACCUCUAACAGCAAAUACGGACCAAAAUUAAUCAAAUUUGAAAGCACGGAUGAUCACGUGUAAUGCCGACUGAUGGAGAAAGAUGUUCACUAUGGAUCAAAAUUUCAAAACAGAGGACCUUUUUAUUCAAACAAAAAUACUUGUAUAUGUAUGAUAUUCUGUACAUACAACAAGAAAACAGUAAUCAAAUGUAAUGUCCAGUGAUGUUGAAAGCAAAAUUAUUUUUGUUAACAGAAAACAAUAGGACUACAAUAUAUUAAGGUACACAACACAUCAUGUCAGAAGAAUAAUUUUACUGGAGAAUAAAAAAUUUAAUACCUGGAAUCAGCAAUUUACAAAAUGUAUAUGAAACUUAUUAAGGAUGUUCACUCCUCUUGUUUUUGAAUUUUUGCCAGAUAUUCGGAAUCCUCUGGUUUUAUCCAUGUAGUGACAUUACAAAUUUUUGCCCA